UAAGAAAUACCUGCCCCUGUAGUCUGUACAAAUUAGUCGGUAAUUACCGAUAACUUAUUUAUAGACCCGUCUUCAGCAAUGAAAAUGAUGUCGCUUAAUACCUCUCCCCAAUUUGAUGGAAGCAUACAAUGGAUACAUAUUUGUUUAUAAUUUUUAUUCUUCACAAAACUUUCCGUUAUGCGUCAAAAUAUUUAUAUAAUAAUA